rnacentral:rRNA from 1 species
GAUGAACGCUGGCGGCGUGCCUAAUACAUGCAAGUCGAGCGAACAGACGAGGAGCUUGCUCCUCUGACGUUAGCGGCGGACGGGUGAGUAACACGUGGAUAACCUACCUAUAAGACUGGGGUAACUUCGGGAAACCGGAGCUAAUACCGGAUAAUAUAUUGAACCGCAUGGUUCAAUAGUGAAAGACGGUUUUGCUGUCACUUAUAGAUGGAUCCGCGCCGCAUUAGCUAGUUGGUAAGGUAACGGCUUACCAAGGCGACGAUGCGUAGCCGACCUGAGAGGGGGAUCGGCCACACUGGAACUGAGACACGGUCCAGACUCCUACGGGAGGCAGCAGUAGGGAAUCUUCCGCAAUGGGCGAAAGCCUGACGGAGCAACGCCGCGUGAGUGAUGAAGGUCUUCGGAUCGUAAAACUCUGUUAUUAGGGAAGAACAAAUGUGUAAGUAACUAUGCACGUCUUGACGGUACCUAAUCAGAAAGCCACGGCUAACUACGUG